CCACCGGGGGGAGGCCGGGGAGGGCAGGAGGUUUAGGGGCCCGCCCCAGUGGUGCCCUUCGCGGGGGGAGGGGGGUCGCUGCAGGGUGUCACCGCCGCUGGGUCUCGGGGCCCGGCUGGAGCCGGAAGCUGAGUCAGCGCUUCCCACCCCGGAGGGGCAGGUCAGCGCCGCGGCCGCUCAUCCCUGCGCCGCCGGCAGGGCCCCUGCCUCCCUCCCCGGGGUGGGAGCUGCAGGCCCCGCCUCCGCUGCUGAUACGGGUAGUCGCGGCGCGGAGGGGGCCGUGCGGGCACAUGGCGCUGGCUCCCGUUCACACGCUAGCAAAGGCAGUUCCCUCCCAGGCAACGGGCUCGCCCCUGCCUGUCGCGCACACGCUCCGGAGCCAGCGGGCCCGCGGGCUGCACAUGCAGCCCCAGCUAAAACCGUGCAGCAAAUCCCCGAGUGCGCCUGCAGAGCAAACUGGCUAGUAAAAGAGGACUGGAAGGGCUCAUUGUGCCGCUAACUGGUUGACCCGAGCUGCCCGUGUCCCAGGUACGGCCGUACCCAAAGCAUCGACACGGGCAGCGGAGUGUGGUAUGACUAGGAAAGGGAAAUAUAAAUUGAUGAUAGAAACGUAGGAAUCGCUAUAUCAGGAACAAACCAGUGGUCUGAGAUCGUAUAAUACCUCCGAUGGUGUUGGAGGAUGCUGGGUACCUUAUAGGUGUGAGAAACUGUUGUGGACAAUUAUGGAAUAAUCAGUUUAUAAGGGAGGUUCCUGAAAUAACUUUCUAAUGUUGAGAUAUGGUAGAACAUGUAAUGAUGAAAGCCCCCAUUUAAAUGUAGGUAAAGUUUAACCCUAAUAAACAUAUAUCUAAGAUGCUCAGAAUGCAGUCUGAUUUGUGAACCUAAGUAGAACAGAAGGAAUAGAAGAAUACAUUGAUGACCAAUCCUGUACUUGUUUAGAUGGACUGAUGAUUUAAUGGUGUCUUUCUCUCUCUCCCACCUCCCUUUAUACUGUGUGGUGAUUGCAUUGAAUUAUCUUAAAAUAGUCUGUGGAGUAAUUCAUUUCAAAGAGCCAAGUAUUAGUGUUGUUUGGCCUGCAAAACACUAACUGGGAUUUUACUUUGUAAUGGCAUAUAUAAUCAGACAUGUUAUCGUAAUGUAUAAUAAAACUGGUUUACGUAGGUUGAUUAUGCCUUUGUGUCUCUUGCAUAUGAAACUCCUUGCAAAGUGGAGUGCAUAAAUGAAUGGGUAUAUGCAUGUGGUUUUGCCUCAUAAAGUUAAGUAAUUUUACACCCAUUAUGUCAACUGCUUAAUUCUCCAAGCUGAGAUGAAAACUCUCUUAAUGUAAGUGGACCAAAACCAGUUUUUAAAAAAAUAACUUUUGGCUUCCAAUUCCAUUGCUGUUUCUCUUCUUCCAUCCCAUCAUUUUACUGAAAAUCACUAUUGAGAUUGAUAAUGUGAGAACUCACUAUCAGAUACUAUCGACUAGCUUUUAUUUUUAUGUUGAUGCAAUAAUCCAAAACUAAAAUGUUUUUAUAGCAUUUAAUAUUGUAUAAACAGGACUAUUAUUUCUGUCCCCUAAUCUCCAUAGUCAAUUUAAUUAUGUAGGUGUCAUAUAUUGGCUAGAAUCAAGGCUAUUGUGGCACAAGCAGCUAUCAUAGCAGUUUUUCCUGCAUUUUAAGAAAAAAAUCUUAUGCGGGGGGGGGACACAACAUUUGUACUGCUGUUGCUUUUUCACCUAGCCCAUUUCUGAUGGCAUUGUGGAAUAAAAGUAAAGUGAAACUGAUCUGAUCCCUGUGUGUUUUUCCUAUUCUUUCUGCUGGCCCAUUGGGGAAGUAGAAGAUGCAGGUGCUGGGCGCACUCUAUAGAGUUGAUGGGUUAGAGAGACACUAGCAAUGUCUUUUCAUGUAGUCCAAGCAGCAGUGAAGGAGUCUGUCAUUGGCUAUUGCACAUGGCUUCUCCCUUUCAGUGAUAGCAGUAAAGUGAUAGAUAGUGAUCUGAUCAGUUUCAAGCUGUGUCUGCUGGCACUUUAGGAAAGUGCUAUAUGUGGUGGCAAGAAACUGAUUGUGAAGGAAGGUGGUGAAGGUUGAGCUGGACAAAGGAAGUUGUACUGAUGGCCUGGUGACACAUCCAAACUUAAGAACAAGUUUUGUCACAUGCACUUUGGAAUGUUGAGGUCUAAGGGAUAAUCCAGGAGGAGGAAAGAGACAAAGACAGGAAAACAUAAGAAGAGGGAGAGACAGGAAGAUGAAAUGAGCAGCUUGAUUUUAGUAGGGAUAUUUUGUAACUUGAGUUUUAUUUCCUGGAAUCGUACUCCUACUUCAGUGUAGUAGCAAUCUUUCAGCUGGAAAAUUUGUAGAUGUGAUCCACUCCAGGCAAAAACACUAGCUCAAUUUUCAAUUAAAUCUAGAAAAUUCUAAUGCUUUACCAACUAUUCUGUAUAGACACCUCAAAUAAUAAAUUUAUUUGAAUAUGAGGUUACAUAUUUCAACACAAGUGAGGACAUUCAAAAAUUGUCUUUCAUGGUAACAUUAACUUGCCCAGAUUGCGUUUAUUUUAAUUAGUUUACUAAAUAAUCUUCUCACAUUACUUAUCAGUUUAUUAGCCUAAUUAGGAAAGUGAUUUAAAAUCCUCCCCUCCCCCCCCCCAACUCUUAUAUUUAAACCUGGCCAUGCUGCAGCUAAACAUGGUUAUUGUCUGCACACAACACAGUUAGUUUAGUUACCCAGUCAGCUAAGAGAGGCCUAGGUUGACACAUUACUGUCUUUCUGUACUGGUUCAGCACACACUUUUUGGGCAGAUGAUACACCUCAGCAAGCCCAUGUAACUAGUUUUGUUCAGUUGUGCUUCACCCAGUUCUCUGCAGUAGGACAUCUUAAGAGUGCAUUGCCCUACAUGCUUUUGUAUGCAUGUGUUCUGGGUAUUGACUGCGAAGACAGUAUGGGAUAGCUGGCCAGAGACUCUUCUCAAGGGGAAAAAAAAUAAGAGUACUAGAUGUGGAGACACAGACACACACAUGUGAAGGUAGAAAAGCUGACAUUAGAAUAUGGUUCAGUUUGAGUUCAAACUAGUCACAAAAUCAUGGUCAAAAUUUGUUGUGUGGAUGGGGCCUUAUUGUUACUUUAUUUCUUUUAGUUAGUUUUUUAAGAAAUAAAAGAAAUUUGAAGGGAAAGAGCCAUUUUUUGAUAGAUUGACUGGAUUUUAGCCUACCCCCUCAUUGUCCACACAUCUGCAAACCUUUAAUCCAGGUUUGAAUGUUCUUUUAAUCUGGGCUUGCUUGUCUGGCAGGAGGUAUAGAUGAAAGUCCAGGUUUCACUUUAAUGCAGGAUCUAACCUGCCUACUUUGCAGUGAGGAUACAACUGAAGAUUGGGUUAUGAUAGUCCUCCAGUGCAUUCCCACAGUUCUGCAGGGGCUAUGUUUUCUGGUCCUCCUACCUACUCGCCUCCUCUACUGCAGAAGUCACCUGCUGGUUUAUGUACACUUGGUUGGCAUUUAACCCUUCAUUCAGCAUGCUCCAUUUCUGCAAAGUUCAGCUCCUUUGAACAGCAUGAGAAGAUGCUGUCUCAGGGUGCUGCUAGCUGGCCAGAGGAUCACAUCAAGGUUCUGGUUGCUCUCUGGUGUGAGCAGUAGGAAAAUAGUUUUGGGAGAUACAGUUGAAAUUAGCAUCUCUGCAGGAAUAUUUCAAAGACUGGGGGAGGAGAGGGAUCAGGUAGAUGACCAUUCAGUGUUGGGGGAGAAUUAAAAACCUCAACAACACCUACUGCAAGGCAAAGGACACCAAUUGAAUGUCCUGCAAUUCCUCAUUUACCUGCCCCUACUAUGAGGCGUUUGACUAGAUGUUUGAUGCUGUCGUGCGUACAGAGCCCAGUGCCAGGCUUGAUGGGCUUUUUGAAGUGGAAUGGUCUGAUAUUUAGACUGGGGGCAGAGGAGAACCUUGUGGCAGAAGAGCUGGAGCAGAUCGCAUGGCCAGAGUGGCUGGAGGAUGUCCUUAUGCUGGAUUCCAUGGACCUGUUCAAGGAUGUACCCAAGGAAUGGAAUGUUGAGGAAGUGGAGUCAGAGGUGGAGCCACAGUCAGGACCUUUCACCUCUGCUGGGCCCAGGCUUCUUGGGGAAAGGACUCUAGGGGAAAAGGAAAAAGGAGGACCUGGUACAAGAAAUGGCUAACGACUUUGGAUGCAAUUUAGAUGUGCACUUUGAGUUCCAGAAGGAACAGCUAGGGCGGAACAGGAAGGAGGAGGGAAACUGGUCAUGAUUAUCUUGAGCAUGAUCAAAGAAUGAGGGAGCAGGACUGACAGCAGCAGAAGGAGCUGAUUUUCAGCUUGCUGCCAUCGGGGGAGUUAGUCGCUCCACAGUGUCAGUGAACACUCUUCUGUGCUACCACAUCCUGCAGCUGAUGGACAACUUGGGGUUGGUGUUGGUUAUUAGUCAUUCCAUGUACUCCUGGAAUGGAAGUGUGUAUGGGCAACUUCUGUUCACGCAACCCUCAUGCCUUGUGGCACAAGGAGACCAGGUGCACUGAUGUGCAGUUCCAUUUCAGUGAGAUGGCAUUGAUUGUGGCAAUUUACCCACUUGUUGCCAGCUGGGCUGCCUGUAUGGUUCUUAAAGUAUAUUUGUAGUAAUGUAUAAUAAAGUAUUUUUUCACUAUU